GUAGGGAAUAUUGGUCAAUGGUCGCAAGACUGAACCAGCCAUGCCGCGUGCAGGAAGACGGUCCUAUGGAUUGUAAACUGCUUUUAUACAGGAAGAAACCCUCCCACGUGUGGGAGCUUGACGGUACUGUAGGAAUAAGGAUCGGCUAACUCCGUGCCAGCAGCCGCGGUAAUACGGAGGAUCCAAGCGUUAUCCGGAAUCAUUGGGUUUAAAGGGUCCGUAGGCGGUCUUAUAAGUCAGUGGUGAAAGCCCAUCGCUCAACGAUGGAACUGCCAUUGAUACUGUAGGACUUGAAUGCUUAGGAAGUAACUAGAAUAUGUAGUGUAGCGGUGAAAUGCUUAGAUAUUACAUGGAAUACCAAUUGCGAAGGCAGGUUACUACUAAGUGAUUGACGCUGAUGGACGAAAGCGUGGGGAGCGAACAGGAUUAGAUACCCGUGUAGUCC
rnacentral:rRNA from 1 species